UACAGAGGUCUCAAGCGUUGUUCGGAUUCAUUGGGCGUAAAGGGUGCGUAGGCGGCGCGGUAAGUCGGGGGUGAAAUCUCGGAGCUUAACUCCGAAACUGCAUUCGAUACUGCCGUGCUUGAGGACUGGAGAGGAGACUGGAAUUCAUGGUGUAGCAGUGAAAUGCGUAGAGAUCAUGAGGAAGACCAGUGGCGAAGGCGGGUCUCUGGACAGUUCCUGACACUGAGACACGAAGGCCAGGGGAGCAAACGGG
rnacentral:rRNA from 1 species